GACGAACGCUGGCGGCGUGCUUAACACAUGCAAGUCGAACGGAAAGGCCCUGCGUUUGUGGGGUGCUCGUGUGGCGAGCGGGGGAGUAACACGUGAGUAACCUGCACUUGACUUUGGGAUAACUUCAGGAAACUGGGGCGAAUACCGGAUAGGAGAUACUGCAGCAUGGUGGGGGUUGGAGAGAUUCGGCGGUUGGGGAUGGUCUGGCGGCUUAUCAGCUUGUUUGGGGGGUAGUGGCUUCCAAAGGUUUUGACGGGUAGCCCGCCUGAGAGGUUGGCCGGCCACCUUGCGCCUGCGGGACGCCCCAGUAUCGAACCUGCCGCAGCGGGGGGGAACAUUACACAGUGGGCGGAAGCCAGAUGCAACAACGCCCCGUGCGGGAUGCCGGCCUUCGGGUUGUAAACAACUUUCGACUGAACCGUAGCCGGAGUGACGGUACCGGGUAAAGAAGCCCCGGCUAACUACGUG
rnacentral:rRNA from 1 species